GACGAACGCUGGCGGCGUGCUUAACACAUGCAAGUCGAACGGAAAGGCCCUGCUUUUGUGGGGUGCUCGAUUGGCGAACGGGUGAGUAACACGUGAGUAACCUGCCCUUGACUUUGGGAUAACUUCAGGAAACUGGGGCUAAUACCGGAUAGGAUCUCCUGCUGCAUGGUGGGGGUUGGAAAGUUUCGGCGGUUGGGGCUGGACUCGCGGCUUAUCAGCUUGUUGGUGGGGUAGUGGCUUACCAAGGCUUUGAAGGGUAGCCGGCCUGGGAGGGUGACCGGCCACCUUGGGACUGAGAUACGGACCAGACUCCUACGGGAGGCAGCAGUGGGGAAUAUUGCACAAUGGGCGGAAGCCUGAUGCAGCAACGCCGCGUGCGGGAUGACGGCCUUCGGGUUGUAAACAGCUUUCGCCUGUGACGAAGCGUGCGUGACGGUAAUGGGUAAAGAAGCACCGGCUAACUACGUG
rnacentral:rRNA from 1 species